rnacentral:rRNA from 1 species
UACGGGGGGGGAAAGCGUUGUUCGGAAUUACUGGGCGUAAAGGGCUUGUAGGUGGCCAACUAAGUCAGACGUGAAAUCCCUCGGCUUAACCGGGGAACUGCGUCUGAUACUGGAUGGCUCGAGUGUGGGAGAGGGAUGCGGAAUUCCAGGUGUAGCGGUGAAAUGCGUAGAUAUCUGGAGGAACACCGGUGGCGAAGGCGGCAUCCUGGACCAUAACUGACACUGAUAAGCGAAAGCCAGGGGAGCAAACGGG